rnacentral:rRNA from 1 species
GACGAACGCUGGCGGCGUGCUUAACACAUGCAAGUCGAACGAUGAUGCCCAGCUUGCUGGGCGGAUUAGUGGCGAACGGGUGAGUAACACGUGAGUAACCUGCCCUUGACUUCGGGAUAACUCCGGGAAACCGGGGCUAAUACCGGAUAUGAGCCGUCCUCGCAUGGGGGUGGUUGGAAAGUUUUUCGGUCAGGGAUGGGCUCGCGGCCUAUCAGCUUGUUGGUGGGGUGAUGGCCUACCAAGGCGACGACGGGUAGCCGGCCUGAGAGGGCGACCGGCCACACUGGGACUGAGACACGGCCCAGACUCCUACGGGAGGCAGCAGUGGGGAAUAUUGCACAAUGGGCGAAAGCCUGAUGCAGCGACGCCGCGUGAGGGAUGGAGGCCUUCGGGUUGUAAACCUCUUUCAGCAGGGAAGAAGCGCAAGUGACGGUACCUGCAGAAGAAGCGCCGGCUAACUACGUGCCAGCAGCCGCGGUAAUACGUAGGGCGCAGGCGUUGUCCGGAAUUAUUGGGCGUAAAGAGCUCGUAGGCGGUUUGUCGCGUCUGAUGUGAAAACUCGAGGCUCAACCUCGAGCUUGCAUCGGGUACGGGCAGACUAGAGUGCGGUAGGGGAGACUGGAAUUCCUGGUGUAGCGGUGGAAUGCGCAGAUAUCAGGAGGAACACCGAUGGCGAAGGCAGGUCUCUGGGCCGCAACUGACGCUGAGGAGCGAAAGCAUGGGGAGCGAACAGG